AAACUUUCAACAACGGAUCUCUUGGUUCUGGCAUCGAUGAAGAACGCAGCGAAAUGCGAUAAGUAAUGUGAAUUGCAGAAUUCAGCGAAUCAUCGAAUCUUUGAACGCACAUUGCGCCCGCCAGUAUUCUGGCGGGCAUGCCUGUCCGAGCGUCAUU
rnacentral:rRNA from 2 species